AAUGGAAUUCUCCUCCUAAGA
rnacentral:tRNA from 1 species